ensembl:lncRNA
AAAUGUGUAAAACUUUGUGUACCAGUAGUUCUUCAUUAGCCUGCACUCAACAAUUUGAGUAAUUCUUUGGUGAAAUAAUAAAUUUCCCGCAAGCCCUUUUUAGCACAUCACUUUUGAAUUGAAGUGGCAUCUGCUCAUCCAUCAGCUCCUGAACCAAUAUUAAUUGGUGGAAUUCUCCUGGCAGAGCUGAGGCUGUCACUGCAUUCCUUCAGCUCUGGGUCAAAGAAGGAACCAGGAAAAGGUAAGCAAAGCAUUCUUCUGGAAUUUUGAGGAUUUAGGAAAGGAUUUUGGCAAAGGGUGAAGGAAUCCAAAUGCAAAGCCCGUGAGCAGAACCAGAUCCACAAAGGCGCUGGAAAACAGUGGGAGGCAAGAUGGGAGAGUGCUAAAGCCCAGGAGGCUUCCAGGGAGGCUGGGGGGGAGGCUGGGGAGAAUUCACUCAGGUUUGGGGUUGUUUUUCACAGCUCCACACCAAGCUGCAGGUGGGCAUGGCAGUGUCCAGCAAGGCAGGACACUGUAAACUGGAUUUUGAAAUUGAGGGCUGCCUAUCUGCAGAAGUGGCUGUUCCCAGGCUGGUUUUUAGCCAGGGGAAACACUUCCUUCAGAUUGCAGCCACUCUCCCAGCAGAUGCCCGAGUCAGGCUGGUUCAGCUGCACUCCUGCCUGCCUUGGCUGCAGCUGCUGAUGCCCAGGGGAAAGGAGCAACCCCGAGGAAACAGCACAGGACACCUUUAAGUGCCCUAAUGGCAUCUCAGAGCCCUGGGGAUUAGCAUCCUCAGAGAAAGGUUUGUGUGGCUAGAACAGAGAAAUGGUUUUCCUUCAUUCACUCACAAAAUCUGCACCAGUCUGGUUCUGAGCUCCUCUGAGAGAACUGCAUCUUGUGAAAACCUAAGAAUAAUAAAUUAAUAAUAAAGAACCAUCUAAUGAAUUUUAUAAUUUUUAGGAACCUUUCAAUCACUGGUUCCUUCAGUUGAAUUAGGAGACAGAAACCCCAAAUCUAUUGGGGUUUUUUAAAUCUCAGUACACAGGAGCAUUGACUCCUCUAAUGCAAUGUGGUUAUUUUCUCAGGAAUAAAAUUGCUGCAAGAAUCCCCUCUCCCUUGUGCCCGUAGGCUCCCUCAGCAUCACCCACCCCUCAGUGUAGGGUGGAAACAUUGAUGGAAGGAGUUAAUUUGGGCAGAGGAAGAGCUGAAAUAGCCAGUGAGACUGCACAUCCCUGGUGUGUGAAUUAAUGCUGGGGCUGGGUAAAUUCCCCAGUUCUGGCUGCUCAACAGAGGCUUCAAAAUUUACUUAUUAGGCACUAUUUAUUUAUUCUGUGGGAUUAAUUCCUUCAAAAGGGACACAAAACUGUCACAAGGGUCUCUUACCUACCUUGUGUUUUCAGGCAAAGAACUAGAGGUGUCUCCAGUCCAUGUGCAAAAGUAACCGUGGUAUUUAAAUGCUUUUCACAGCUAACACAGCCCCAGCUUAUCACGCAUUAAAUGGCUUUCUCAGGACAGCAGCCAUAUAUUUUUGUACUGACCAAUAUGUUAUAUAUACUGCAAGUAAAGCCAUAUCCACAUAUUGUUGUGUUGAAACAACAAAACAAGAUUUAGAAAUGCAUAUCCAACUUUAAUACAUAAUCUGAAGAGCAGAGUUCCUUCUGCACCUUGAAAAUUUCACCUUUGAUUAAACGAUUACAAUCUUCCCUCAGAUAAAAUACAUAUGUGUGUGUAUAUAUUUAUGUGUACAAUUUCAAAAUCAAAGCCUUGCACUCCUGGAUGUCAUCUGCUGGCACUGGGAGCAGAUCCCAGCACCCCAGAAUGCAGCCUGGCAGGAAUUAAUCUCCUGCUUGUGAAGGGCUCCCUAAUUGCCCUGGGCUUUUUCCCUUUUGAACUGCCUCCCUAACCUGUAAUUUCUCUGCCACCUGCCCAAAGGUAAAUGAAGAAUCUGCUACACCCAAGGAAUUCCUCACCUGCUGCAGGUGACUCCAGAGGGGAGUGUCCAUCCCCAGGGAGGAAUGGAUUUCCACGUGGCAGGUUUCAGCAAUAUCCCCGGGCAGGAGAGCUGCUCCUGCUCCCAUCCCUGCGCUGCUGGGGAGCUGAGCAGAGCAGCAGGGAGGCCUUGCUGGAGCCUCCUCCUCUGAGCUCCAGCACGAGACUGAAACUGGGAGAGAUUCUGAUCAUUGAGCAAGUAUUGACUUGAUUUAAUAAGGCAAGAAGAGCCUCAGAGAGCAAUUGCUGCUGCUGCUGAGCAAUUCUGCACCUUCAGCCUGGCACACUUCUUGUUCCCCCUUUUGCAAAGUCAGGGUUAUUCUUGCUUUUGGCUUUUUGCACUUAGGCAAAGGUGUUCCCAUGGAUCCUCCACUGCCUGGAGGAGUUUGGAAAGAUUUGCUGUUCAAAAGGAGCUGGCCAAGGGCAGUGCCAUGGAAAAGUGGGGAGGAGGCUGCAGGAUAAAAUGCAGAUCAGCACAGAGUGACAAUGGGUCUGUGGCAGCCAAAGAAAGGGCUUGGACUGAAAUAUGAAAAUACCAACUUCCCUCCUUUCCCUCACUUUGAGAAAUCUUUCCCUGCUGACAUCCUGGUGGCAAGCCCCUUCUUUCAUUGUGGCCUCUGCCUUGUUCCACGUGUGACUCCAUGAAAAUAAUCAAUCCCAUCCAGCUUCUGUAACCAAAACUCUUCCCUGGUGCUCAAAACUAAAAAAUUAAUUUCAAAUCCACUACAGAUUUCAUACAAAAAAAAAAAAAAAAAAAA